UGUCUGUCUACAUAUAUACAUUUGAACUCAGUGUCUUCACUUUAAACUUGAACAUAAAUCUCUCUGUUUAACUGACUAUCUCUUUCUGAUGGGACAGAGCCAACAGUAGCAGUCUACAUCCCCCCACAGCUGCACACUGACCCAUAUAAAGAAAUCACUCUGGUGUGUCUGGUCACCAGUACUGUGAAUGAGACAUAUAAAAUCGAAUGGUCAGAAAUGUUUGGAAAGUCACAAGGACCUUAUACUACAGCCACCGACGUCCCUGCACAGAAGAGCAAAAAUGACCAGAAAUGGCGAAGUAUGAGUCUUUACACCACCAGUAAGGCAAACUGGGACAAAAAAGAUCCAACCAAAGUGUUCACCUGCCGUGUCGGAGUCGGACCUAAACAUAUUUUAAAAACAGUGUCCAGUGUCCAUGAUGAUUUUUGUGAUCUGAGUUGGGACGAUAUCACCGCUGAAGACGAUUUUGGCAGCCUGUGGUCCACAGCUUCCUCCUUCAUAUUCCUUUUCAUAUUCUCUCUCUUCUAUAGCAUUAUUAUCAGCCUUCUGAAGAUAAAGAGAUCAUAACAAAUGGGAUGGAAUGGGUGCGCUUCAUUUCUACGCUAUUUUUAAAAUAUGUUUUUCAUUUUCUUUUUAUGCACAUAAUCAUUUAUUUGUUAUAUUAAAUGCCUGUCAUAUAUAAAUAGUCAAUUAACACAUCUGUAAAAUGUGUAAAAUAGAUCAAUAAAAUGAAACUGCAUAUUAUACUGCA